rnacentral:rRNA from 1 species
UACGGAGGAUGCAAGCGUUAAUCGGAAUUACUGGGCGUAAAGCGUGCGUAGUCGGUUAUCUAAGUCGGGUGUGAAAUCCCCGGGCUCAACCUGGGAAUUGCAUUCGAUACUGGAUAGCUAGAGUUCGGCAGAGGGAAGCGGAAUUUCGGGUGUAGCGGUGAAAUGCGUAGAUAUCCGAAGGAACAUCAGUGGCGAAAGCGGCUUCCUGGACCAGAACUGACGAUCAG